UGUAUGCACUACUGUAAGUCACUCUGGAUAAGAGCGUCUGCUAAAUGACUAAAA
rfam:Salmo salar isolate Sally breed double haploid chromosome ssa05, whole genome shotgun sequence.